rnacentral:rRNA from 1 species
UACGUAGGGUGCGAGCGUUGUCCGGAAUUACUGGGCGUAAAGAGCUCGUAGGUGGUUUGUCGCGUUGUCCGUGAAAACUCACAACUCAAUUGUGGGCGUGCGGGCGAUACGGGCAGACUGGAGUACUGCAGGGGAGACUGGAAUUCCUGGUGUAGCGGUGGAAUGCGCAGAUAUCAGGAGGAACACCCGUAGCGAAGGCGGCACUCUGGGCCGAUUCUGACACUGAGGAGCGAAAGCGUGGGGAGCGAACAGG